rnacentral:rRNA from 1 species
GACGAACGCUGGCGGCGUGCUUAACACAUGCGAGUCGAACGAUGAAGCCUAGCUUGCUAGGUGGAUUAGUGGCGAACGGGUGAGUAAUACGUGAGUAACCUACCUUUAACUCUGGGAUAAGCCUGGGAAACUGGGUCUAAUACCGGAUACGACCAAUCUCCGCAUGGGGUGUUGGUGGAAAGCGUUAUGUAGUGGUUAUAGAUGGGCUCACGGCCUAUCAGCUUGUUGGUGAGGUAACAGCUCACCAAGGCGACGACGGGUAGCCGGCCUGAGAGGGUGACCGGCCACACUGGGACUGAGACACGGCCCAGACUCCUACGGGAGGCAGCAGUGGGGAAUAUUGCACAAUGGGCGCAAGCCUGAUACAGCGACGCCGCGUGAGGGAUGACGGCCUUCGGGUUGNUAACCUCUGUUAGCAGGGAAAGAGAGAAAUUGACGGUACCUGCAGAGAAAGCGCCGGCUAACUACGUGCCAGCAGCCGCGGUAAUACGUAGGGCGCGAGCGUUGUCCGGAAUUAUUGGGCGUAAAGAGCUUGUAGGCGGUUUGUCGCGUCUGCUGUGAAGGCCGGGGCUUAACCCCGUGUAUUGCAGUGGGUACGGGCAGACUAGAGUGCAGUAGGGGAGACUGGAAUUCCUGGUGUAGCGGUGGAAUGCGCAGAUAUCAGGAGGAACACCGAUGGCGAAGGCAGGUCUCUGGGCUGUAACUGACGCUGAGAAGCGAAAGCAUGGGAAGCGAACAGGAUUAGAUACCCUGGUAGUCCAUGCCGUAAACGUUGGGCACUAGGUGUGGGGGACAUUCCACGUUUUCCGCGCCGUAGCUAACGCAUUAAGUGCCCCGCCUGGGGAGUACGGCCGCAAGGCUAAAACUCAAAGAAAUUGACGGGGGCCCGCACAAGCGGCGGAGCAUGCGGAUUAAUUCGAUGCAACGCGAAGAACCUUACCAAGGCUUGACAUAUACUGGACCGCAUCAGAGAUGGUGUUUCCCUUCGGGGCUGGUAUACAGGUGGUGCAUGGUUGUCGUCAGCUCGUGUCGUGAGAUGUUGGGUUAAGUCCCGCAACGAGCGCAACCCUCGUUCUAUGUUGCCAGCACGUUAUGGUGGGGACUCAUAGGAGACUGCCGGGGUCAACUCGGAGGAAGGUGGGGAUGACGUCAAAUCAUCAUGCCCCUUAUGUCUUGGGCUUCACGCAUGCUACAAUGGCCGGUACAGAGGGUUGCGAUACUGUGAGGUGGAGCUAAUCCCUAAAAGCCGGUCUCAGUUCGGAUUGGGGUCUGCAACUCGACCCCAUGAAGUCGGAGUCGCUAGUAAUCGCAGAUCAGCAACGCUGCGGUGAAUACGUUCCCGGGCCU